rnacentral:misc_RNA from 1 species
AACGCACCUUGCACCCUUUGGUAUUCCGAAGGGUACACCCGUUUGAGUGUCAUUGUAAUCUCACCCCCUCGACUUUUUGUUGAUCGGUGUGGACUUGGAUGUUGCCGUGUAACAAACGGCUCGUCUGAAAUGCCUGAGUGUACCCUGCUUUUGCGGCGUAUUCGGUGUGAUAAAUCUUUACCGGAGUUGACUUUUCAAGUCGCGCUUGUAGCUGUAGGCUCUAUGCUUCCAACUGUCCAACAAGACAAUCUUUGACAAUUUGACCUCAAAUCGGGUGGGACUACCCGCUGAACUUAA